UACUCCGGGGAUAACAGGCUGAUACCGCCCAAGAGUUCAUAUCGACGGCGGUGUUUGGCACCUCGAUGUCGGCUCAUCACAUCCUGGGGCUGAAGUAGGUCCCAAGGGUAUGGCUGUUCGCCAUUUAAAGUGGUACGCGAGCUGGGUUUAGAACGUCGUGAGACAGUUCGGUCCCUAUCUGCCGUGGGCGCUGGAGAAUUGAGGGGGGCUGCUCCUAGUACGAGAGGACCGGAGUGGACGCAUCACUGGUGUUCGGGUUGUCAUGCCAAUGGCACUGCCCGGUAGCUAAAUGCGGAAGAGAUAAGUGCUGAAAGCAUCUAAGCACGAAACUUGCCCCGAGAUGAGUUC
rnacentral:rRNA from 1 species